rfam:TPA: Bos taurus chromosome 26, whole genome shotgun sequence.
UUCUUGGUGGUCCAGUGGCUAAGACUCUGCUCUCCCAGUGCAGGGGGCCCAGGUUCAAUCCCUGGUCAGGGGA